CAACCCUCAAAGCCUGGCUUUGGUGUUGGAGGAAUACCUGUAAAAGGGUACCCUCCCAAAUUUAGUGGCGGGCUCGCUAGAAUUUUGAGCGUAGUAGUUUUACCUCGUUUUUAAAGACUAGUGGGACUUCUUGCCGUAAAACCCCCAACUUUCUGAA
rnacentral:misc_RNA from 1 species